CGAAGCUCUCCGAUUACUGUCAUGUUGAAGUGGGUAGCGCAGACUCUUCCAGUCCCCGAUAGUUGAUUGUUGUUGCCUUACUAGGGCUUAGUUUGUAUGGGCUUGGGUUGAUUCCACGGCUGAGCAUGGGUUGUUAGACUCGGAUUUUUUUUCUUUAUGGGCAUGGUUUGUAUUGCUUCUUUGCUUUAGGGAAUUGGACCUUAUAUUUCAAUAUCCAUCUAAUGAAUUAAUCUUUACAUUUGCCUCACUUUUGCAAUCCACCGAAUCGGUGACUCUAUCCUCCAUCACCUUGCUCCAUAUACUUCAUCCAAACAAGGCUUGCCCAGAAUCAACAUAGAAGGCCGACAAUGUUUGCUCAAAAGACCCACUUCUGGAUCCACCAGGCUUUAUCUAAUCGUUGGGGAGAAAAGAAAUGAACAAGCCCUGGAUUAGGAACACACUCUACUGUAGUGUUGGGCACUCAUAUUUGCAGAUCAGUGAAACUUUGUAAAUUUGGCUAAAAAUCUAGUUUGGCAGAGACAAUGCCUCGUCGGGCGACCCAAAUCUUGCACAACGGUCGCAAAGUUCUUGAAGAUCUCGACUUGCUCAAGGUCCUACAAUCUGAAAUCAAACAUGAACUCUCGUCUCCACCCCUUCAGGACAAUCGAAGAGGGUCUUUGGGAGAUUUCUCGGUGGACUGGGAUUCAUCAGAUUCCCAAGAUGUUGUUUUGCGGAGAAAAUGUGAGACGGGUGAGCAGGUUGUAGUUUCAGCUUUGUCGCGUCCAUCAUGCUUUGCGGAAGGAAGUACAUCUCCAUGGGAAUUUUUGAUGAAAGUGUUUGUGAAAAAGCCUGGCUUGAACUCUGUAUUGCAGUUUGAUUGUGGAAUUUAUGAGAUAGGUCCCAGUCGGUCUGUGUUUGACAUUCAUAAUGCCUAUUAUCUCCAAUCAACAACCUGCCCCGGUCCCUCUGCCUACGGAGGCCCCUACUUCAGCGAUUUGGAUCCUCAUUUACGAAUUGCACUCAAGGAAUACCUAGUAGCCAAGGGAAUUAGUGAAAGCCUUACUAAUUUCCUUUUCCUACAUCUACGUAAAAAGGAGCAAGGUCAGUAUGGGAAUUGGUUGCAGAAACUUGAAUCAUUUGUGGCAAAAGAAGAGUGAUGCCAAACACUAAUAGCAUUAUAGCAAAAGGCUGAACCACUGUUUGAAGGCUUAAAAAAAACUAUAGAUUAAUUUAGUUGACUGAUGAUCUUAGGAUUUCAAACUUUUGGUUGACUUUGUAUUAUGAAUUAAUUAACAAGUUCAGAUAUUUUUGGUAGUGAACCUUCUAAAUGCAGUGAUAAGAAUGUGACUAUAUUUUCAUCUCCACUAUUGUUUAUAGUUUGUGAUUUAAAAAAACAAAAAGGAAAAGUAUAAAAAUAUACUUUGUGGUUUCG
rnacentral:misc_RNA from 1 species